rnacentral:rRNA from 1 species
CGUGCUAAUCUGCGAUAAGCGCCGGUAAGGUGAUAUGAACCGUUAUAACCGGCGAUACCCGAAUGGGGAAACCCAGUGUGAUUCGUCACACUAUCAUUAACUGAAUCCAUAGGUUAAUGAGGCGAACCGGGGGAACUGAAACAUCUAAGUACCCCGAGGAAAAGAAAUCAACCGAGAUUCCCCCAGUAGCGGCGAGCGAACGGGGAGGAGCCCAGAGCCUGAAUCAGCAUGUGUGUUAGUGGAAGCGUCUGGAAAGGCGCGCGAUACAGGGUGACAGCCCCGUACACAAAAGCGCAUGUGUUGUGAGCUCGAUGAGUAGGGCGGGACACGUGGUAUCCUGUCUGAAUAUGGGGGGACCAUCCUCCAAGGCUAAAUACUCCUGACUGACCGAUAGUGAACCAGUACCGUGAGGGAAAGGCGAAAAGAACCCCGGCGAGGGGAGUGAAAAAGAACCUGAAACCGUGUACGUACAAGCAGUGGGAGCACAGGUUUACCUGUGUGACUGCGUACCUUUUGUAUAAUGGGUCAGCGACUUAUAUUCUGUAGCAAGGUUAACCGAAUAGGGGAGCCGGAGGGAAACCGAGUCUUAAU